GCUCACAAAGCUACUCCUUCCACCAGGAACCGGGGAGAUCCACCUGAGGGGCCUGAUCCAGGCAUGAGAAGAGGGACAAAGAGUGGGUCUAGCUUUGCCCCACUUGGGCCCCACAUGGCCACCAAGCGGGAAGGAUUGACCUGCAGGACUGGAGGUCCCUGUGGUUGGUCUCCAAUCAUCAGCUACUCAGCGAGUCUCCCUCCUCAAGGAAUUGCCUGUUCAUGAGGCAGAGGGCAGAGGAACCCACGUCUGCACACUGUGGCAAGGAGGACAAAGACAUCCAUCCAUCCACCCAUCCCCUCAUUCUUUCAGCGUGCCCUCUCUGAGCACUGGUGGUGCACCUGGCCCCGCCCCUGCCUUCAGGGCAAUUACAAUACAGUUUGAUGAGGCAAGGUAACAGGGCACAGAGAGACUCUUUACCCAGCUCUUGGUGGUCAGAGCAGGCUUUCAGAUGGAGGUGACAUCCAACAGUGUCUUGGACAGUGCGUCAACCUGGACUUUGUCCAGAGCCUGAUUGAGCUGAGGGCAGAGUUCACAGGCAGAGAGGAAGGGAUGCAGUAACUUCCCCUUCAGCCUCAGUUGAUAAAAACAGGGGAAAUGGAUGGCACUGAGCACCUAACCCCAGAAAAGUGGGGUAAAGACAGUUUAGCUGGCCAGCUCAGGGCCAGCCAUACAUGGCUGGGGAUGAGGGUACCAGGCCGGAGCAUGCAAAGGGAGGCUAAACCAGGUGGAUUCUACUAAGAGGGCCAGGGGCCCAGCCAGGCCCCCACGGGGUACUGCUCAUGCUGCUGGCAAGCCAUUCCGCAUGUCCCCACACCCUUGCUUGAUGGUGCCUGUGGCUUAUGCAUGUAGUUUGUGUGACUGCUGGUUUUCCCCUGUCUCCCAGCUCUGACAAGAAGCAUUGCAUGUCCCCAGCCUGAUUUAGGGGACACCUUAGGCCCUGCCCUCCCCAGAUUCUUCCUGGAUAGGAAUUAUCUGCUUGAUUCCCCACCUGACUGUCCCACUAAGGCUUUGAGAAGGCAAGGGGUCGCCCCGAGGGUCAGUGAAAGCUUUGGAAGCUUAUGAUCCCCCAAGCAAAGGCCUCAGUGGAAUGUCUGUUUCCAAGAUGGCUGCCACCAAGAUGGCAGCCGAAGAGCAAACUGAUUCCCAUGGCAUUUCUGCCCAUGGGAACUGCCUUCCUCCUCGAAGUUGCCCAGGUAGGAGGAUGAAGAGGGCCUGGAACCAGAAAAACCCUGGAAUUGUCAUUUGGAACCCACACUUGGGGGAAAGGGGUGGCCAUGGCUCGGUGCCAUCAGCUUGCUGGGACCCCAGGUCUCUCUCCCCUUGCUCUCGGGCAUUCUUUGUGUGCCUCCACCCCAUGCCCCCGGACCCUGGUGGGGUUUGCGUGCUCCCUGCCCAUGCCUCCUUUGUACGUGGCUCUCUCUCCUCCCACACUUCCCCAGCUCCAGCAAUAACGAUGCUGUGGGAAAAGAUGCAACGCAUUGUGAUCACCCACAUCUGGGAGUGCGAGGGUCGUACCAAGGAGCAGUGCUCAGCAGAGAAGCAACCAGAUGAGCCCCGGUGCCCCAGCCCGAGGGAUGGAGGGUGCUGAAUGGACGCCAAGCUCUGAGAGCCCCCUCCCCGAAGUGGAAUUGUCCCAUGGAGCCAGGGAGCCUGCCAGCUGCCAGCCACACGCUUCCCACUGCCUCAGUAGCCCUCUGUCCUCUCUCCCGAGGCUUUUCAUGGUUGCUAUGGUUACCUCUUUGCAGGAUGAGAUUC